rnacentral:tRNA from 1 species
UCCCAGGUGGCUCAGAUGGUAAAGUGUCUGCUUGCAAUGCAGGAGACACAGGUUCAAUCCCUGGGUCAGGAA